CGCGAGAGAUCACCGUCAGGCUCAUAACCUGAAGGUCAUAGGUUCAAAUCCUAUCCCCGCAACCA
rnacentral:tRNA from 1 species